AACGGCCAUACCAUGCUGAAUAUAUAGCGGUUCUCGUUAGAUCACCGAAGUCAAGCAUCUUUUGGGGCGGUCAGUACUUGGGUGGUGACCACCUGGGAACACCGUGUGCCGUU
rnacentral:rRNA from 1 species